AAAAAACAAAAUGAUAAAUAAAACAUUUCAAAAGAAAUAAAAUGUACUUGAUUCAACGUCAAGUUUUUUUUUCCAAAUAAAACUCACACCAUUGCAACGUGAAUACUUGAUCCAACAUCACGUACUUACCAUCCAUUCCAUGAUCCAUGAUCCAUCUCUUCUCCAUUCUCUUCUCUACCUCAUUCUAUCUCUCUCCUCCAUUCUUCACAAACAUUUUUCACAAUAAAC
rnacentral:lncRNA from 1 species